GAAGAAGAAGAAGAAGAAGUUCUCUCCUUUCCAACUUGUUCUUCCCCUUCCAAAUUAUGUCCUUGGAGACCAUGCAUGGACCACAAAGUAGAGGCAUCGGGAGCACAAAAGGAAGUCCUUGUGCAGGCACCUGCUGAUGCUUUCCCUCCCACAGGACCCCCCCACCAGGCCAGCUCUUCCUUUCCACAUUCUCUGCAAGAACCGACCCCCUCCUUACUCCAGAUCUCCAGAAGUUUGAGAAGAGCCUCUGUGUUUGGGUGCAACCUGCAGAGACCCCGUCUGGCACCUGAUGCCCUGAGCAGAUUGGAAAGCAGAAAGUUGGAAGACGCAGAUAAAGGGGAUGAGAUAACCGUGGAGGGGGUCUCAAAGCUCAUCCGAUGGUGAAACAGACCUUUGUUUUUAUUUGUAUCUAUCACUCCAUGCAGUAACCCGGUCGCUAAUUGAAUCGCUGCUUCCCCAUUGAUUUUGCUAGUCAGAAGGUCGCAAAAGGACAUCACAUGACCCCGGGAUGCUGCAAACCGCCAAAAAUGUGAGUCAGUUGCCAAGCAACCGAAUGUAAAUCACGUGACCCUGGGGACGUCGCAAGGGUUGUAAGCGUGAAAGUUUGAUCUUAAGUCACUUUUUUUUUUUAGUGCCGUUGUAACUUUGGACGGUCACGAAAUGAACUAACUGCACUUGCAAUUCCAAGCAAGCCACUGACGGCCGCGCCCUAACCACGGGUUAUUAUUGGAGUGUGUGUCACACAGGUUUUCCAGCUUUGCAAUUCGU